AAGCAUUCGAAACUUUUAAUUCGAGAUCACGAACUUGGAUCACUUUAAAAUUCAAAUUGUUUUGCAAAAUUCAAAUUGUUUUGCAAAAUUUAAAGCCUUUUGCAUUUGAACCGCUUGAAGUUUCUCUUGCCUAAGCAAAAUGGAUAAGCGUCACAUUUUAAAAACAAGCCUUUUAUAAGAAGUUCUUUUAUAAGCAUGAUUUCUCAUCAUUAUAAAAACUGCUACCAACACUUAAAUUCAAUGGACCGAUAAAUCGGCAAAUAAACGGAUAAAAGCAAAUGGAUAGGUAAAUUGGUGGGCCUGGGAGGACUUGAACCUCCGACCUCACGCUUAUCAAGCGCGCGCUCUAACCAACUGAGCUACAAGCCCUCCGAGAUAAACCGGAAAACCUUCCCCAGCAUUAUCUAAAAAAGCAUUAUCUAAAAAAGCUUUAUCUCAUAAAAGCAUCAUUUCAAAAAACAAAGAGCUUUCCUUAAAGCUUUUGAUGAGAGCUUACUUGCGUAGACCGCCAGAAGGCUUGGGA
rnacentral:misc_RNA from 1 species